GACGUAGGGCGCGAGCGUUGUCCGGAUUUAUUGGGCGUAAAGAGCUCGUAGGCGGCUUGUCGCGUCGACUGUGAAAACCCGCGGCUCAACUGCGGGCCUGCAGCCGAUACGGGCAGGCUAGAGUUCGGUAGGGGAGACUGGAAUUCCUGGUGUAGCGGUGGAAUGCGCAUAUAUCAGGAGGAACACCGGUGGCGAAGGCGGGUCUCUGGGCAGUAACUGACACUGAGACACGAAGGCCAGGGGAGCAAACGGG
rnacentral:rRNA from 1 species